rnacentral:rRNA from 1 species
UCUAGAGGCUUCGUCAAUGGGGGAAACCCUGAACGAGCGACGCCGCGUGCGGGAUUGAAGGCCUUCGGGUUGUAAACCGCUGUCAGGAGGGAAGAAUGCCCGAGUGGUGAACUCGGGAGCGACGGUACCUCUGGAGGAAGCCCCGGCUAACUCCGUGCCAGCAGCCGCGGUAAUACGGAGGGGGCAAGCGUUGUUCGGAUUUACUGGGCGUAAAGGGUGUGUAGGCGGCCGCGCAAGUCUGGUGUGAAAUCUUCAUCGCUUAACGGGAAGAGGUCACUGGAAACUGCGUGGCUCGAGUAUGGUAGAGGCAAGCGGAAUUCCUGGUGUAGCGGUGGAAUGUGUAGAUAUCAGGAAGAACAUCUGUGGCGAAGGCGGCUUGCUGGGCCAUUACUGACGCUGAGACACGAAAGCGUGGGGAGCAAACG